rnacentral:rRNA from 1 species
AUGAACAUGGAGCGCCUGCCGGCGGAGCGCCACGGCCACCGGUACGAGCGGAUGCAGCCGGAGCCCGCCGCCGAGGGGGACGCGUCGGCCUCGUCCUCGUCCUCGCCGUCUGCGCCGGCGCGGCGGCCGGAGGUCCUCGCGGCGUCGGCGUCGUUCCGUCUGUCCGAGGCCACGCGGGUGUUCGAGGAGCUCCCGCGCGCCACCAUCUUCUCCGUCUCGCGCCCCGACGCCGGCGACAUCACACCCAUGCUCCUCUCCUACACCAUCGAGAUCAACUACAAGCAGUUUAGGUGGCGUCUUUUUAAGAAAGCUUCCCAGGUUCUCUAUCUACACUUUGCUUUGAAGCGACGUGAAUUUCUUGAAGAAUUCCACGAGAAGCAGGAACAGGUCAAAGAAUGGCUCCAAAAUUUGGGAAUUGGGGAUCAUAUGCCGGUAGUACAUGAUGAGGAUGAAGUGGACGACGUAAAUCUUCCUUCGCAACCCGAUGAAAGCUCCAUCAGAAAUAGAAAUGUUCCUUCAAUUGCUGUUUUGCCCGUCAUCCGACCAGCUCUUGGACGCCAACACUCAAUUUCUGACCGAGCAAAAGUUGCCAUGCAAGAAUAUCUUAACCAUUUUUUUGGAAACUUGGAUAUUGUGAACUCACGGGAGGUUUGCAAAUUUUUGGAGGUAUCAUGUUUGUCAUUUUUACCGGAAUACGGGCCUAAGCUAAAAGAAGAUUAUGUUUCAAUUGGUCAUUUGCCAAAAAUUCAGAAGGGCCAUAAAGAGAAGUGUUGUUCAUGUGGAUUGUUUAGUUGUUGCAAGAGCAGCUGGCAAAAGGUUUGGGUUGUCCUGAAGCCAGGAUUCUUGGCUUUACUCAAAGAUCCUUUUGAUCCAAAGCUGUUGGAUGUCAUUAUUUUUGACGCAUUGCCACAUAUGGAUAUAAAUGGAGAAGGUCAAAUCUCUCUAGCGAAGGAGAUCAAAGAACGCAACCCAUUGCAUUUUGGAUUCCAGGUAUCCUCUGGUGGCCGGACAAUCAAGUUACGAACAAAAAGCUCGUCUAAGGUUAAGGAUUGGGUUACUGCAAUCAAUGCUGCUAGACAACCUCCAGAGGGCUGGUGUUACCCUCAUCGCUUUGGUUCAUUUGCACCACCAAGGGGCCUGUUGGAAGAUGGGAGUAUGGCACAGUGGUUUAUAGAUGGGCAAGCUGGAUUUGAAGCAAUUGCUUCCUCGAUUGAGCAUGCUAAAUCCGAGAUAUUUAUUGCUGGCUGGUGGCUCUGCCCAGAAUUGUAUCUUCGACGUCCCUUUGAACAUCAUGGGUCAUCUAAGCUUGAUGCUCUACUGGAAGCAAGAGCGAAGCAGGGUGUGCAGAUUUACAUUCUAAUGUAUAAGGAGGUUGCUCUUGCCUUGAAAAUUAAUAGCUUGUACAGUAAAAAUAGGCUACUUAACAUUCAUGAGAAUGUCAAAGUUCUGCGCUACCCCGAUCAUUUCUCAAGUGGUGUAUACUUGUGGUCACAUCAUGAGAAAAUUGUGAUUGUCGAUAACCAAGUCUGCUAUAUUGGAGGACUUGAUCUGUGCUUUGGUCGCUAUGAUAGUCCUGAUCACAAAGUUACCGAUGUUCCUUCUACGAUAUGGCCAGGGAAAGACUACUACAACCCUAGGGAAUCUGAGCCGAAUUCUUGGGAGGACACUGCAAAAGAUGAACUUGACCGUACUAAAUAUCCACGUAUGCCCUGGCAUGACGUCCAGUGUGCUCUGUACGGCCCACCUUGUCGGGAUGUAGCAAGGCAUUUUGUCCAGCGUUGGAAUUAUGCAAAGAGGAAUAAAGCUCCAAAUGAGCAAGCAAUUCCGUUGCUGAUGCCUCAUCACCACAUGGUAAUUCCACAUUACAAGGGCAGAAGUAAAGAAGCAAAUGGUGAGGCUGAGGGUAAGCAAAAUCAUGAUGAGAAUGUUGAUGUUAAAAAGACAGCCUCCUUGGCAUCAAGUGCAUCAAGUCAGGACGUUCCAUUACUUUUACCUCAAGAGCUUGAACCUCAGGCAUUGCCUGAUGGAGAUUUAGCGAUGACUGGCUUUGACAUCAACCAGGCAGAUAACGCAAAUAAAACAGGCUUCAAACAGCCUUUGCUCAACCGAAAGGCAAAAUUCGAUGCUUCUCGUCAGGAUUUACCUAUGAGAGGUUUUGUAGACAAUCUCAGUUCCCCUGAGUCUGCAACUAUUAGGCGUUUUGAUUCAUCAAAGGAAGAUAGGCAUCACAUGGAUAAGAAAUGGUGGGAGAGGCAGGAGCAAGGAGAUCAGGUUGCUUCAGUACUUGACAUUGGGCAAGUUGGACCAAGGGCAACUUGUCGCUGUCAGGUUAUUAGAAGUGUUGGUCAAUGGUCAGCUGGAACCACUCAAAUUGAAGGAAGUAUCCACAAUGCCUACUUUUCUCUAAUUGAAAAGGCAGAACACUUUGUAUACAUUGAGAAUCAGUUUUUCAUAUCAGGCCUUUCAGGGGAUGACACAAUUAAAAACCGUGUGUUGGAAGCAUUGUACAGGCGUAUACUUCGAGCAGAGAGAGAGAAAAAGCGCUUUAAGGCCAUCAUCGUUAUACCCCUUUUACCGGGUUUUCAGGGAGGCAUUGAUGAUGGUGGAGCUGCAUCUGUGAGGGCGAUUAUGCACUGGCAGUACCGGACUAUCUGUAGAGGCCCUAAUUCCAUACUGCAGAAUCUGUAUGAUGUGAUUGGUCUUAAGGCCCAUGACUAUAUUUCCUUUCAUGGUCUCAGAGCACAUGGUAGGCUAACUGAUGGAGGUCCCGUGGUUACUAGCCAGAUUUAUGUACACAGCAAGUUAAUGAUCAUUGAUGAUCGCAUUGCAUUGAUUGGUUCAGCUAACAUAAAUGAUAGAAGCUUGCUUGGAUCAAGGGAUUCCGAGAUUGCUGUGGUCAUCGAAGAUAAAGAAGUUGUUAAUUCCAAAAUGGAUGGAAGACAUUGGGAAGCUGGUAAAUUCUCUCUCAGCCUACGGCUUUCUCUCUGGGCGGAGCACCUUGGCCUUCACCGAGGAGAGGUUAGCCACAUCAUGGAUCCUAUGGAUGAUACAACGUUCAAAAAUAUCUGGAUGGCCACUGCUAAGACAAAUACCACGAUUUACCAGGAUGUAUUCUCUUGUGUUCCCAAUGAUCUCAUCCAUUCAAGGACACAGUUUCGGCAAAGCAUUGCUUACUGGAAGGAAAAAAUUGGCCAUACUACAAUUGAUCUAGGCGUUGCCCAAGAAAAGCUCGAAACCUACCAGGAUGGUGAUCUCAAAGGUACUGACCCUAUGGAGAGAUUGCAGUUGGUCAGAGGCCACCUUGUAUCUUUCCCUUUGGAUUUCAUGUGCCAAGAGGACUUGAGACCAUAUUUCAGUGAAAGCGAGUAUUACACAUCUCCACAAGUUUUCCAUUAG